UACGGAGGGGGCUAGCGUUGUUCGGAAUUACUGGGCGUAAAGCGCGCGUAGGCGGAUCUGCAAGUCGGGGGUGAAAUCCCGAGGCUCAACCUCGGAACUGCCUUCGAUACUGCGGGUCUCGAGUCCGGGAGAGGUGAGUGGAAUUCCUAGUGUAGAGGUGAAAUUCGUAGAUAUUAGGAAGAACACCGGUGGCGAAGGCAGCCCCCUGGGCUAACACUGACGCUCAUGCACGAAAGCGUGGGGAGCAAACAGG
rnacentral:rRNA from 1 species